CGGACGAACGCUGGCGGCGUGCUUAACACAUGCAAGUCGAACGGACGAGUGAGAUAAAGUUUACUUAACUCACAAGUUAGUGGCGGACGGGUGAGUAACACGUGGAUAAUCUACCUGCAACACCGGGAUAACGCUGUGAAAAACGGUGCUAAUACCGGAUACGUUCCCUUGUGCGCAUGUAUGAGGGAAGAAAGCUCAGGCGGUUGCAGAUGAGUCCGCGGCUGAUUAGCUAGUUGGUGAGGUAAAGGCUCACCAAGGCGAUGAUCAGUAGCCGGCCUGAGAGGGUGAACGGCCACACUGGGACUGAGACACGGCCCAGACUCCUACGGGAGGCAGCAGUGGGGAAUCUUCCGCAAUGGGCGCAAGCCUGACGGAGCAACGCCGCGUGGGUGAAGAAGGCCUUCGGGGUUGUAAAGCCCUGUCUUAUGGGAAGAAGUCAGUGACGGUACCAUAGGAGGAAGCCACGGCUAACUACGUG
rnacentral:rRNA from 1 species